rnacentral:rRNA from 1 species
AGCGAACGCUGGCGGCAGGCCUAACACAUGCAAGUCGAACGAAGUCUUCGGACUUAGUGGCGGACGGGUGAGUAACACGUGGGAACGUGCCUUUAGGUUCGGACUAACUCAGGGAAACUUGUGCUAAUACCGAAUGUGCCCUUCGGGGGAAAGAUUUAUCGCCUUUAGAGCGGCCCGCGUCUGAUUAGCUAGUUGGUGAGGUAAAGGCUCACCAAGGCUACGAUCAGUAGCUGGUCUGAGAGGAUGACCAGACACAUUGGGACUGAGACACGGACCAAACUCCUACGGAAGGCAGCAGUGGGGAAUCUUGCGCAAUGGGCGAAAGCCUGACGCAGCCAUGCCGCGUGGAUGAUGAAGGUCUUAGGAUUGUAAAAUCCUUUCACCGGUGAAGAUAAUGACUGUAGCCGGAGAAGAAGCCCCGGCUAACUUCGUGCCAGCCGCCGCCGUAAAAC